CUUAUUUAAUAACCUCAUAUGAACUCCCCUUACCAUGAUCUUCAUAGGUUGCUUAAUUUUAAAUAUCGAUUAUUGUCUUGUCCUGACUUCACCCUAAAGGUAAAGGACAUGAAAGAAGUGAGAUGAGAGAUGUAUCUACAACAUCUCAUAAUCUGUCAUUCAGUUAAAAAUCGUGCAUCCUUGAUUUCAUUCACUUUUGCUUCUUUGUUAUCUUCAGUGCUUUUAAGAAAUUUACUCAUGACCUCUGCCUCUUGGUUAAUUUUUUGUUCAUUUUUUAUGACGGAACAUAGCAUAAGGACUGUCUGUCAUUGGUGACAGAUAAAUAAAAUUGGUGCUGAUCUCUUGUAUUCCUCAUAUGAAGAUGAGGAUAGUGAAAAUAGUGACAGUGUCGAAGAUGAAAAUGACUGUGAGUCCGAGUCAGCGUUUGAUGCUGAUGGGGCCGUUGAGCUAAUCUCGAGCACUGACAUGUCUGGAGACUCCUCAGAGCUGAAAGGUUCCACUUCUAAAGGUUCAUUAGAUGCCAUACUUGAUGGUUGCUGCUAUGCGACCUUCUUAUUAUGUUCGGAUUCUUUAGUGAUAUGUGUGAGCUGGCAAGGAACUCUGUCCUAAUGAGUGGCUUUGAACAUAACGUAAGGAUCUACUCAUUUUUUUAUUCUGCAUUAUUAAUUUUUGUUCUUGUUGUUGAAAGAGGCAGUGUCUCUUAGACUCACUCCCUUAAUAUCCUGUGAAAUAUAAACUUGUCAUUUGUGCUUACAAGCUCCUUUUUUCAUGUCUUUAUGUUUAAUACUACAACCUGCUACAUUCUUGUUGAAGCUUCUUUGGCUUCUUCAGCUGCCACAGUUGCAUUUGGUCGCAUCUUUUCUUGUGUUUCCAGAGAGCACUUGCAGGUCAAGCCACAGACUUUUAUCAAA